UCAAAGGCAAAUCUGCGGAAACGCAGAGACGCAAAACUCGAAGUCUAACGCAACAACGAGGAAAGACGUAAGUCAAGGUUGUUGCCAUGAUAGUUCGGUUGCA
rnacentral:ncRNA from 1 species